AUGAACGCUAGCUACAGGCUUAACACAUGCAAGUCGAGGGGCAGCAUGGUCUUAGCUUGCUAAGGCCGAUGGCGACCGGCGCACGGGUGAGUAACACGUAUCCAACCUGCCGUCUACUCUUGGACAGCCUUCUGAAAGGAAGAUUAAUACAAGAUGGCAUCAUGAGUCCGCAUGUUCACAUGAUUAAAGGUAUUCCGGUAGACGAUGGGGAUGCGUUCCAUUAGAUAGUAGGCGGGGUAACGGCCCACCUAGUCUUCGAUGGAUAGGGGUUCUGAGAGGAAGGUCCCCCACAUUGGAACUGAGACACGGUCCAAACUCCUACGGGAGGCAGCAGUGAGGAAUAUUGGUCAAUGGGCGAGAGCCUGAACCAGCCAAGUAGCGUGAAGGAUGACUGCCCUAUGGGUUGUAAACUUCUUUUAUAAAGGAAUAAAGUCGGGUAUGGAUACCCGUUUGCAUGUACUUUAUGAAUAAGGAUCGGCUAACUCCGUGCCAGCAGCCGCGGUAAUACGGAGGAUCCGAGCGUUAUCCGGAUUUAUUGGGUUUAAAGGGAGCGUAGAUGGAUGUUUAAGUCAGUUGUGAAAGUUUGCGGCUCAACCGUAAAAUUGCAGUUGAUACUGGAUAUCUUGAGUGCAGUUGAGGCAGGCGGAAUUCGUGGUGUAGCGGUGAAAUGCUUAGAUAUCACGAAGAACUCCGAUUGCGAAGGCAGCCUGCUAAGCUGCAACUGACAUUGAGGCUCGAAAGUGUGGGUAUCAAACAGGAUUAGAUACCCUGGUAGUCCACACGGUAAACGAUGAAUACUCGCUGUUUGCGAUAUACUGCAAGCGGCCAAGCGAAAGCGUUAAGUAUUCCACCUGGGGAGUACGCCGGCAACGGUGAAACUCAAAGGAAUUGACGGGGGCCCGCACAAGCAGUGGAGUAUGUGGUUUAAUUCGAAGCAACGCGAAGAACCUUACCAGGUCUUGACAUCCGAUGCAUAGCUUAGAGAUAAGUGAAGUCCUUCGGGACAUCGAGACAGGUGGUGCAUGGUUGUCGUCAGCUCGUGCCGUGAGGUGUCGGCUUAAGUGCCAUAACGAGCGCAACCCUUGUUGUCAGUUACUAACAGGUUCCGCUGAGGACUCUGACAAGACUGCCAUCGUAAGAUGUGAGGAAGGUGGGGAUGACGUCAAAUCAUCAUGCCCUUUAUGUCCUGGGCUACACACGUACUACAAUGGCUAUAACAAAGAGAAGCGAGACAGUGAUGUGGAGCAAAACUCAAAAAAAUAGUCUCAGUUCGGAUUGAAGGCUGAAACUCGCCUUCAUGAAGCCGGAAUUGCUAGUAAUGGCAGGUCAGCAUACUGCCGUGAAUACGUUCCCGGGCCUUGUACACACCGCCCGUCAAGCCAUGGGAGCCGGGGGUACCUGAAGUGCGUAACCGCGAGGAGCGCCCUAGGGUAAAACUGGUGACUGGGGCU
rnacentral:rRNA from 1 species